CUAACCGGGGCGCUGCGCUCUUAUGGGUCUAUAUCAUUGUAUCUUCUGAUGAAUUAUAAAUUAAACCAAAUAUUAACCAUCCUUGCGUUAGUAAGGUCAGGUUAGGCCAGGCCAGGUUAGUUAGCCAAGGUCAGGAUAGUUUAAGCCAGGUUACAUUAGGCCAGGUUUGGAUUUGCCAUGUUAGGCCAGGCCAGGUUAGUUUAAGUCAGAAUAAAUUAAGCCAGGUUUAGUUACGCCAUGUUAGGUUAGGCCAGGCCAGGUUAGUUUAAGUCAGAAUAAAUUAAGCCAGGUUUAGUUACGCCAUGUUAGGUUAGGCCAGGCCAGGUUAGUUUAAGUCAGAAUAAAUAAGGCCAGGUUUGGUUACGCCAUGUUAGGUUAGGCAAGGCCAGGUUAGUUUAAGCCAGGUUAUAUUAGGUUAAGCCAGGUUACGUCAUGUUAGGCAAGGCCAGGUUAGUUUAGGUCAGGAUAAAUAAGGCCAGGUUUGGUUACGCCAUGUUAGGUUACGCCAGGCCAAGUUAGGCCAGGUUAGUUAAGGACAUAACUUCCUGUCAUACACAAUUUGCUCUCCAAAGACACCCGGGAUAAUUAUUUUCUUAACAGAACUUGUCUUAUACGUCGCUCAUUUAUAUUUUUAAUAUACAUCUUAAUUAACAUUAUGUGGUGUAAAAUGCGUAAUUAGACCUAGGUUUAUUGUAUUUUAAAAAUGACUUCGUUGGACUUACCCGAGAGGCCUCCAUCUCUAUAGUAACCUCGACAGGGACAUGAAGCCGGCGGCUUAUAAUGGUCCCCCUUUAAUUCCUGAUUAUUUUUGUAACUACGACUUAAUAGGAGUAACCCAUCCUCCUAAUAAACCGCCGCAUUUUUAGGUACUACUCUCCCUAAGACCAAAAAUGGUCGUACUAGAAAAUGGUAGCGGCUGGCGAAAUGUACACACUGUCCCGUUUUCUGUUUUAGGUCCUGUGGUAGGUUAGGAUAAGGGCACUUUAGUAGGACAGUUUCUUGACGUUGGUGAACCUUAGGAGGACGGGCUGAAUAUGAGAAUGUAGACCCAUGUUAAUACUAACUGAUGGAAUAGUCGUCAGUGGGACCACGAUGGAGUGUCUAAUUAAACUUUUAGAAUUUGUUUCUUUGAAAUCAAACUGGAAAAAUCUUCAGGUUUAAUGGGGAAUGAAGGAAGGGUUUGACAAGCCUUCGGCUUCCUG